rnacentral:sRNA from 1 species
UUUAUUGUUUCUUAAUCUUAGCCAACCAAAAAUUGACUACAUUUCUAUGUUUAUAUCAUAGUAGUUUUUGUAAUCAUAUUGAGGCUAUAAAUGGUUAUAUAGACCGCACCCAAAAUCGUAUCACAACAGUGUUGAAGCAGUGUCAAAAUUUUUACAUAUACAUAUAUAUCUAUAUAUUUUUGUUACUAUUUGAACCGUACCGUACUUCUCCCACAUCACAAAAUGCAGUCACUAUUCGGACCUUAAUUUUCUUAUAUCGAUUAUUAAACUGAACAUUCUUAAAUCUUAACCAAACAAAAGUAGCUGAUUUUAUCCCUAUUUUUCAAACCUA